GAUGAAGAACGUAGCGAAAUGCGAUAAGUAAUGUGAAUUGCAGAAUUCAGUGAAUCAUCGAAUCUUUGAACGCACAUUGCGCCCCUUGGUAUUCCGAGGGGCAUGCCUGUUCGAGCGUCAUUAUAACCCUCAAGCUCAGCUUGGUGUUGGGGCCUGCUGCACUGGCAGCCCUUAAAAUCAGUGGCGGCGCCAUCUGGCUCUAAGCGUAGUAAUUCUUCUCGCUAUGGGGUCCUGGUGGAUGCUUGCCAUCAACCCCCAAUUUUUCUAUGGUUGACCUCGGAUCAGGUAGGGAUACCCGCUGAACUUAAGCAUAUCAAUAAGCGGAGGA
rnacentral:misc_RNA from 1 species